GGUCAAUGGGACACUGACGAGAGCUAUGCUUCACAUAGCGCCAAGCGUCUCUCAAGAUCUGCACCAGAAGCUUUGUAAAUAACUAAGAUACAAAGCUGUGGGGAUUAGAUAACACCACCUCCCUCCAGACAGCUAAUCCCAUUCUGAACAUCUUAUUUGAGCCAUGAUGGACAACGGUCAUGAAACGGUAGUGAAAAUAGAUUUCUACAGUGUGGGCUUUGAAGUGGACAUCAUAAUAUAAAAUACCAUGCUUGCUUCACAGAAAACUCUUUACACUGAAGGAGCAAGAGAUUGAGCCAACUAAUCCACGAGUCCAUGUUUAUUAUCUACUAUAUUGAGGCUACCACAGUAAACAAGACUGAUAAUGUUCCUCAAG